GACGAACCGUGCGAACGUUGUUCGGAUUCACUGGGCUUAAAGGGCGCGUAGGCGGGUGAUCAAGUCCGGGGUGAAAUCCUUCAGCUCAACUGGAGAAUAGCCUUGGAUACUGGUCGCCUCGAGGGAGGUAGGGGCGGGCGGAACUUCCGGUGGAGCGGUGAAAUGCGUAGAUAUCGGGAGGAACACCAGUGGCGAAGGCGGUUGCCUGGAGCUUUGCUGACGCUGAGGCGCGAAAGCGUGGGGAGCAAACAGG
rnacentral:rRNA from 1 species